CUGUCUUUAUGCGAAGAUGAAUUAAACACAUGCAAAAAAGGGAAUAUAAAACUUCAUGAACAGCUCGAGGAGGUGAAAUUACAAGUAUGUAUCAAUUAUAACAUUUAUUGCAGGUUGACCAGAGCGAAGGAAUAUUUUAAGGAAAUCAUUUGUGGAAAUCGAUUGUUUAUAAUGAUUAAUUGUUUUUCAAUUUUAGACCUCUCAACACGUGGCCUUGAAUGGAUCAAUUUUCUCUGAAAUAUCAGUGUUGGAAAGUGAGUCUGAUUUUAGUCUCAAGUUAGCUGCUUCUCCCAGCUGUAAGGUGAGAAAUUGACCGUCCAUUUAUUAAAAUAAGGUGUUGUGGUACGGUGAUUUAGUACAUGUGUCUUUACGCAGUUGUCUGAAUAUAAUUUCACCUCAGUCACAUGUGAGAAGAAUGCAUCCAGUUUGACUCUACCAAACAUCACAGAUUUUCUCCAAGUGUCCCAGUUUCCUCCUGUG